rnacentral:rRNA from 1 species
GACGAACGCUGGCGGCGUGCUUAACGCAUGCAAGUCGAACGGUGAAGGUGGGAGCUUGCUCCUGCUGGAUCAGUGGCGAACGGGUGAGUAACACGUGAGUAACCUGCCCUUGACUCUGGGAUAGGCGUUGGAAACGACGUCUAAUACCGGAUACGAGCUUCAGCCGCAUGGCUAGGAGUUGGAAAGAUUUUUCGGUCAAGGAUGGACUCGCGGCCUAUCAGCUUGUUGGUGAGGUAAUGGCUCACCAAGGCGACGACGGGUAGCCGGCCUGAGAGGGUGACCGGCCACACUGGGACUGAGACACGGCCCAGACUCCUACGGGAGGCAGCAGUGGGGAAUAUUGCACAAUGGGCGCAAGCCUGAUGCAGCAACGCCGCGUGAGGGACGACGGCCUUCGGGUUGUAAACCUCUUUUAGCAGGGAAGAAGCGCAAGUGACGGUACCUGCAGAAAAAGCACCGGCUAACUACGUGCCAGCCGCCGCCGUAA